UAAUACGAAGGGGGCUAGCGUUGCUCGGAAUUACUGGGCGUAAAGGGCGCGUAGGCGGACAGUUAAGUCGGGGGUGAAAGCCCGGGGCUCAACCUCGGAAUUGCCUUCGAUACUGGCUGUCUUGAGUACGGGAGAGGUGUGUGGAACUCCGAGUGUAGAGGUGAAAUUCGUAGAUAUUCGGAAGAACACCAGUGGCGAAGGCGACACACUGGCCCGUUACUGACGCUGAGGCGCGAAAGCGUGGGGAGCAAACAGGAUUAGAUACCCUGGUAGUCCACGCCGUAAACGAUGAGUGCUAGUUGUCGGCAUGCAUGCAUGUCGGUGACGCAGCUAACGCAUUAAGCACUCCGCCUGGGGAGUACGGUCGCAAGAUUAAA
rnacentral:rRNA from 1 species